AGCUUUAUAGUCAAUAAAUGAUUUAAAAUUGCAAAUUUUAAGAUAUAAUAAAUUAAUUAUUAAGGCUU
rnacentral:tRNA from 1 species